CGGGAGGCUAACACAUGCAAGUCGAACGGUAACAGAAAUAGCUGCUAUUUGCUGACGAGUGGCGAACGGGUGCGUAACGCGUAUGCAACUUGGCCCUUAACUGGGGAAUAGCCCAGAGAAAUUGGAUUAAUACCCCAUAAUAUCACGAAUUCGCAUGUUUUGUGAUUAAAACUCCGGUGGUUAAGGAUAGGCAUGCGUCCCAUUAGUUGUUGGUGAGGUAACGGCUCACCAAGACUACGAUGGGUAGGGGGCCUGAGAGGGUGAUCCCCCACACUGGUACUGAGACACGGACCAGACUCCUACGGGAGGCAGCAGUGAGGAAUAUGGUCAAUGGACGAAAGUCUGAACCAGCCAUCCCACGUGCAGGACGAAGGCCCUAGUGGUUGUAAACUGCUUUUAGAUAGGAAGAAACCCCUUUACGUGUAAAGGGCUGACAGUACUAUCAGAAUAAGCACCGGCUAACUCCGUGCCAGCAGCCGCGGUAAUACGGAGGGUACAAGCGUUAUCCGGAUUUAUUGGGUUU
rnacentral:rRNA from 1 species